GUCUUUUUGAAAAUAAUAUAAAGUCUAAUCUGCCCACUGAUUAAAUAAUUAAAGGGCUGCAGUAUAUUGACUGUACAAAGGUAGCAUAAUCAUUAGUCAUUUAAUUGAUGACUUGUAUGAAGGAUUUGAUGAGAUAUAAACUGUCUCUUAUUUAAUUAUAAAAUUUAAUUUUUUUAUUAAAAAGUUAAAAUAUCUUAAAAAGACGAGAAGACCCUAUAGAGUUUAAUAAAUUAUUAGAUUGAGAUUAUAUGUAAAACAAAUUUAAAAUAAAAUUAUUUAUUUUGUUGGGGUGACAAAAAAAUACAUUAAACUUUUUUUUUAUUUUAAAACAUUUAUAAGUGAUUAAAUGAUCCAAUAAUAUUGAUUAUGAGAAAAAAUUACCUUAGGGAUAACAGCGUAAUUUUUUUUUUUAGUUCAAAUAAGAAAAAGAGUUUGCGACCUCGAUGUUGGAUUAAGAUAAAAUUUAAAUGUAGAAGUU
rnacentral:rRNA from 1 species